GAGCUUGCUCCUUUGACGUUAGCGGCGGACGGGUGAGUAACACGUGGAUAACCUACCUAUAAGACUGGGAUAACUUCGGGAAACCGGAGCUAAUACCGGAUAACAUAUUGAACCGCAUGGUUCAAUAGUGAAAGGCGGCUUUGCUGUCACUUAUAGAUGGAUCCGCGCCGUAUUAGCUAGUUGGUAAGGUAACGGCUUACCAAGGCAACGAUACGUAGCCGACCUGAGAGGGUGAUCGGCCACACUGGAACUGAGACACGGUCCAGACUCCUACGGGAGGCAGCAGUAGGGAAUCUUCCGCAAUGGGCGAAAGCCUGACGGAGCAACGCCGCGUGAGUGAUGAAGGUCUUCGGAUCGUAAAACUCUGUUAUCAGGGAAGAACAAAUGUGUAAGUAACUGUGCACAUCUUGACGGUACCUGAUCAGAAAGCCACGGCUAACUACGUGCCAGCAGCCGCGGUAAUACGUAGGUGGCAAGCGUUAUCCGGAAUUAUUGGGCGUAAAGCGCGCGUAGGCGGUUUUUUAAGUCUGAUGUGAAAGCCCACGGCUCAACCGUGGAGGGUCAUUGGAAACUGGAAAACUUGAGUGCAGAAGAGGAAAGUGGAAUUCCAUGUGUAGCGGUGAAAUGCGCAGAGAUAUGGAGGAACACCAGUGGCGAAGGCGACUUUCUGGUCUGUAACUGACGCUGAUGUGCGAAAGCGUGGGGAUCAAACAGGAUUAGAUACCCUGGUAGUCCACGCCGUAAACGAUGAGUGCUAAGUGUUA
rnacentral:rRNA from 1 species